GAUGAAGAACGUAGCGAAAUGCGAUAAGUAAUGUGAAUUGCAGAAUUCCGUGAAUCAUCGAAUCUUUGAACGCACAUUGCGCCCUGUGGUAUUCCGCAGGGCAUGCCUGUUCGAGCGUCAUUUCAACCCUCAAGCCCCGCUUGGUGUUGGGCCCCGCCCGCCGUGGCCGGCCCUAAAGACAGUGGCGGCGCCGACUGGCCCUCAGCGUAGUACAGCUCUCGCUCCAGGGUCCGGCGGCCGCCUGCCAGAACCCCCCAACUCUGUGGUUGACCUCGGAUCAGGUAGGGAUACCCGCUGAACUUAAGCAUAUCAAUAAGCGGAGGA
rnacentral:misc_RNA from 1 species